AGGCCUUCGUCUUAAAAAUUGCAAGUCGAGCGGAAAGGCCCUUCGGGGUACUCGAGCGGCGAACGGGUGAGUAACACGUGAGCAACCUGCCCUAGGCUUUGGGAUAACCCCGGGAAACCGGGGCUAAUACCGAAUAUGACCUUUGACCGCAUGGUCUUUGGUGGAAAGUUUUUCGGCCUGGGAUGGGCUCGCGGCCUAUCAGCUUGUUGGUGGGGUGAUGGCCUACCAAGGCGACGACGGGUAGCCGGCCUGAGAGGGCGACCGGCCACACUGGGACUGAGACACGGCCCAGACUCCUACGGGAGGCAGCAGUGGGGAAUAUUGCACAAUGGGCGGAAGCCUGAUGCAGCGACGCCGCGUGAGGGAUGACGGCCUUCGGGUUGUAAACCUCUUUCAGCAGGGACGAAGCGUAAGUGACGGUACCUGCAGAAGAAGCGCCGGCCAACUACGUGCCAGCAGCCGCGGUAAGACGUAGGGCGCGAGCGUUGUCCGGAUUUAUUGGGCGUAAAGAGCUCGUAGGCGGCUUGUCGCGUCGACUGUGAAAACCCGCAGCUCAACUGCGGGCCUGCAGUCGAUACGGGCAGGCUAGAGUUCGGUAGGGGAGACUGGAAUUCCUGGUGUAGCGGUGAAAUGCGCAGAUAUCAGGAGGAGCACCGGUGGCGAAGGCGGGUCUCUGGGCC
rnacentral:rRNA from 1 species